GACAGAGGGGGCAAGCGUUGCUCGGAAUCACUGGGCGUAAAGGGCGCGUAGGCGGGAUGGCAAGUCGGUCGUGAAAUCCUUCGGCUCAACCGAAGAACGUCGGCCGAUACUGCCGUUCUUGAGGGAUGCAGAGGAGAUUGGAAUUCCCGGUGUAGCGGUGAAAUGUGUAGAGAUCGGGAGGAACACCGGUGGCGAAGGCGGGUCUCUGGGCAGCUCCUGACGCUGAGGCGCGAAAGCGUGGGGAGCAAACGGG
rnacentral:rRNA from 1 species